rnacentral:miRNA from 1 species
UGGAUACUAGUAGGCUGGUU